CUGACAAUACGUUGGAAUCAUACCCAAACCCAUCGAAAGCCAUCAACACAAUAAGGGAUGUGCGACUGUAGCUGAUGUUGAGUCUUCCAAGCCUACCUUUGACGCCUCACCUGAUAUUACUAGGUGAACGACAAGGUAAUCAUCAAAAGUGGAUGGUCAGCAUUGAAUCCUUAAUCGUUUGUGAAGGGUCCAACCUCGACACAUUUCUAACAGGCCUUGCGACAUGUUUCU